rnacentral:tRNA from 1 species
UGGGGUGUAGCCAAGCGGUAAGGCAGCGGACUUUGGAUCCGCGAUUCGUAGGUUCGAAUCCUACCACCCCAG